AGAGCGAACGCUGGCGGCAUGCUUAACACAUGCAAGUCGCACGGCUGGGGUAACCCAGCAGUGGCGGACGGGUGAGUAACGCGUAGGUAUCUAUCUCCGGGUGGGGGACAACUGUGGGAAACUACAGCUAAUACCGCAUGAUGCCCGAGGGCCAAAGCAGCAAUGCGCCUGGAGAGGAGCCUGCGUACGAUUAGCUUGUUGGCGGGGUAAUGGCCCACCAAGGCGACGAUCGUUAGC
rnacentral:rRNA from 1 species